UACGAAGGGGGCUAGCGUUGCUCGGAAUCACUGGGCGUAAAGGGUGCGUAGGCGGGUUUUUAAGUCAGGGGUGAAAUCCUGGAGCUCAACUCCAGAACUGCCUUUGAUACUGAAGAUCUCGAGUCCGGGAGAGGUGAGUGGAACUGCGAGUGUAGAGGUGAAAUUCGUAGAUAUUCGCAAGAACACCCGUGGCGAAGGCGGCUCUCUGGGACGGUACUGACGCUGAGACGCGAAAGCGUGGGGAGCAAACAGG
rnacentral:rRNA from 1 species